AGGACAGCCGGAAGAUGUGUUUUGCUCUGUUGUUCUCAGUGAGGUAGAAAGCGAUUCUGUCGCUUCUCCAACCAGCUUCGACUCCGAAAAUUGUAUUUGGACUGCCCCCUGGAUCCAUGCAGGAAUUAUCUGAGCAUGGUGAAGAGGAGGGAUGUGUUCCGAUGAGUAGAGAGCAUAAGCUGCGAUGGUUCUCGUUACAAGAUCCAGGGCAUUCACAUUCAGGGCUCUAAAACUACCACGCGCAUACCUUAUACAUAUUUUUUUUACUUAACCAUAGGAACCAACCAACCCAUAAACAGCUAACCAUGUGUGAGAAUAAAUU
rnacentral:misc_RNA from 1 species